rnacentral:rRNA from 1 species
CAGCAGCCGCCGCGGUAAUACGGAGGGUGCAAGCGUUAAUCGGAAUUACUGGGCGUAAAGCGCACGCAGGCGGUCUGACAAGUCAGAUGUGAAAUCCCCGGGCUUAACCUGGGAACUGCAUUUGAAACUGUCAGGCUGGAGUCUUGUAGAGGGGGGUAGAAUUCCAGGUGUAGCGGUGAAAUGCGUAGAGAUCUGGAGGAAUACCGGUGGCGAAGGCGGCCCCCUGGACAAAGACUGACGCUCAGGUGCGAAAGCGUGGGGAGCAAACAGGAUUAGAUACCCCGGUAGUCCCUGUCUCUUAUAC